rnacentral:misc_RNA from 1 species
UCAACCCUCGAACCUCCGUUUCCUCAGGGAAGCCCAGGGUCGGUGUUGGGGCGCUACGGCGAGUCCUCGCGACCCCCGUAGGCCCUGAAAUACAGUGGCGGUCCCGCCGCGGUUGCCUUCUGCGUAGUAAGUCUCUUUUGCAAGCUCGCAUUGGGUCCCGGCGGAGGCCUGCCGUCAAACCACCUAACAACUCCAGAUGGU